UCUACGGGUGGCAGCAGUGAGGAAUAUUGGUCAAUGGGCGCGAGCCUGAACCAGCCAAGUCGCGUGAGGGAUGACGGCCCUACGGGUUGUAAACCUCUUUUGCCGGGGAGCAACGGGCGCCACGUGUGGCGCCACUGAGAGUACCCGGAGAAAAAGCAUCGGCUAACUCCGUGCCAGCAGCCGCGGUAAUACGGAGGAUGCGAGCAUUAUCCGGAUUUAUUGGGUUUAAAGGGUGCGUAGGCGGAUCGUUAAGUCAGCGGUGAAAGUUUGUGGCUCAACCAUAAAAUUGCCGUUGAAACUGGAAGACUUGAGUGUGUUUGAGGUAGGCGGAAUGCGUGGUGUAGCGGUGAAAUGCAUAGAUAUCACGCAGAACUCCGAUUGCGAAGGCAGCUUACUAAGCCAUAACUGACACUGAAGCACGAAAGCGUGGGGAUCAAACAGGAUUAGAUACCCGAGUAGUC
rnacentral:rRNA from 1 species